rnacentral:rRNA from 1 species
GACGAACGCUGGCGGCGUGGAUUAGGCAUGCAAGUCGAACGGUAGGAUACCUUCGGGUAUCUGAGAGUGGCGAACGGGUGAGUAACACGUAGGUGAUCUACCCUCAAGAUUGGGACAACCCAGGGAAACUUGGGCUAAUACCGGAUGAAAGCAGCAGUGAUGUUGUUUGAAAGGUGGCGUAAGCUGCCGUUUGGGGAUGAGCCUGCGCUCUAUUAGUUAGUUGGCGGGGUAAAGGCCCACCAAGGCGAUGAUAGAUAGGCGGCCUUAACGGGUGGUCGCCCACACUGGGAUUGAGAUACGGCCCAGACUCCUACGGGAGGCAGCAGUCGAGAAUAGUCUACAAUGGCCGAAAGGCUGAUAGUGCGACGCCGCGUGAACGAAGAAGCCCUUCGGGUGUAAGUCUUUAUAUGUGAGCAGUGCUUUCUAUGUGAACAGCAUGGGGAGAGAGAUAUUAGCAUAUGAAUAAGCAACGGCUAACUCCGUGCCAGC